rnacentral:rRNA from 1 species
CCUACGGGGGGCAGCAGUGAGGAAUAUUGGUCAAUGGGCGCGAGCCUGAACCAGCCAAGUCGCGUGAGGGAAGACGGUCCUAUGGAUUGUAAACCUCUUUUGUCGGGGAGCAAAAGACGCCACGCGUGGCGUUCCGAGAGUACCCGAAGAAAAAGCAUCGGCUAACUCCGUGCCAGCAGCCGCGGUAAUACGGAGGAUCCGAGCGUUAUCCGGAUUUAUUGGGUUUAAAGGGAGCGUAGGUGGAUUGUUAAGUCAGUUGUGAAAGUUUGCGGCUCAACCGUAAAAUUGCAGUUGAAACUGGCAGUCUUGAGUACAGUAGAGGUGGGCGGAAUUCGUGGUGUAGCGGUGAAAUGCAUAGAUAUCACGCAGAACUCCGAUUGCGAAGGUAGCAUACCGGCGCUCAACUGACGCUCAUGCACGAAAGUGUGGGUAUCGAACAGGAUUAGAUAUCCGGGUAGUC